CCUACGGGAGGCAGCAGUGAGGAAUAUUGGUCAAUGGGAGAGAUCCUGAACCAGCCAAGCCGCGUGAGGGAAGACGGCACUAUGGGUUGUAAACCUCUUUUGUAGGAGAACAAAACCCGGGACGUGUCCCGGACUGCGUGUAUACGUACAAAAAGCAUCCGCUAACUCCGUGCCAGCAGCCGCGGUAAUACGGAGGAUGCGAGCGUUAUCCGGAUUUAUGGGGUUUAAAGGGUGCGUAGGCGGUACGUUAAGUCAGCGGUGAAAUUGGGGGGCUAAACCCCGUCGAGGCGUUGAAACUUGCAGAGGUGAGGUGGCGAGAAGUACGCGGAAUGCGCGGUGGAGCGGUGGAAAGCAGAG
rnacentral:rRNA from 1 species